CUCCCGUUGACAAGUAAACGAGUUCAUUCUAUUCUAUAAAUAUUGAUUUACAGUAUGACAAUAUCUACUUAGAUAAAGAGUCACAUGGCAGACAAUAAAGAUGUCGAGAAACCGUACGAAUGUGAUAUUUGCAAUCGACGAUUCACCGUAUCAAACCACUUGGCAAGGCAUAAAAGGACACACACAGGGGAAAAGCCUUACGGAUGUGAAGUUUGCAACAAAAGAUUUAUAAGAUCGGAUGACUUACGGAAGCAUCAGAGGUCGCACACUGGGGAAAAACCGUACGAGUGUUUCGUAUGCAGCAAAAGAUUCUCACAAUCGAGCAACUUAUCGAGACAUAAACUAACACAUAUUGGAAACGAACUGUAUGAAUUUGUUCUUUGCAACAAAGUAUCUGCGGACGUGCCGCCCUCUGCGGAAAUAAAAACUGAAACAGAAUCGUGAAUCAUGCUAACGGUCUUUGCUGUGGUCCAGGCGCUUACUGUAAGUCCUAAAAUUGUCAAAGUUCUGCUAAUCUGGAAAGGCCUCUUACCGCUUUAAUAGUAUAAUCAUGUUGGCAGUGAUGAACAGUAUUCGCAAAGUUGUUUGAAAAUGUACUUGAAGAAUAUAGCAAAUGCUUUGACGUUUCGAAAUAAAGGCCCUUCGUCUGCGAGUAAGUUGCCAUUAAAACAAGCUCGAAAUGUAAAAAGGUAUUUUCUAUGUUUUUAUUUUGUUGCAUCCUUCAACCAACUGUGAAUAAUUCAUGGCUCUUCAUAGAAAAGUAACAGAAAUAUUUUUAUUAUAUAAACAUAAGUGUUAUAUAGAGUUUUUGGCCACUGAGAAAAAUCGUAUUUAAACACACGUAAAAAAUACGAUAUUUUUACGUGUGAAAAUAUCAUUUGUGGUGAAACGCAUUGCCACGGACGUUUUAUUGUUUUUCACUGAAUUUUGUUUAUAUAAUAAACAGAAAAAUACAUGGGUGCUUGGAAAUACCAGAUUUAUUUCGAAAUAAAUGUGGUAUUUCCAAGCACCCAUGAAUAAUUCUCUAUAUACCCCGUGGUGCUGGUCUCAAACUAUGUUACUAAAAUAUCAAAUGAAUUACUAUGACGAGGGUUUGUGCCAAUAACGUGCUAUCUAUAAUAGUAUUAAUACAUUUCAAUUUUUUUCUAUAACUUUCACCUAAGUAUAUAUAUAUAUAUAUAUAUAUAUAUAUAUAUAUAUAUAUAUAUAUAUAUAUAUAUAUAUAUAUAUAUAUAUAUAUAUAUAUAUAUAUAUAUAUAUAUAUAUAUAUAUUUAAUUUUAUGCAGUUCAAUAUUCUGGGAUAAUACAAUAAAAAUAUAAACAUUUCGGAUUAUCCCAGAAUAUACUGAAUAAAAUUUUGAAAUUAUAUUAGUACAUUUUGGUCGACAUUCUUAUGUAACACAUUUUCGAUAAAGGACACUUAUUACAGGGAUGCCGGAUGGAUCCAGCAUGAUCUGGUAUUGGGGGGUGCUCUGCCAGCUCUUGUGCUGAGUUGUGUCAGUCACAGCGAAGUCUUGCUUGACCACUGUAUUUGAAUUGUAGUUGUUCACAGUUCGCUCCCCCUCCUGCACCCCCUCUGUCCAGGGCUAAGGGGGGGGGGGUGCACCCAUCCCUAACUUAUUACCCUCCACCAAUGUCUUCAUUGUCUGAUACACUUUUUAUAGUGCAUGUACCAGUGAACUCUAAGAGAACUGGAACGAUAACUUGGCCGCCAUCUUUGAAGCCACUCAUGAUGGCCGCCAUGUAGGUAUGGAGUGGAAAAUAUGCCGCCUAAAAGAUGUCUGUUUUCGACCACUAAAUAGCUGUAUUUCCACAAGGAAAAAAGCUAAAAACUUUCAACUAUACCUGAAAUUUAAUACAAAACAUGUUUCCAGAACAUAGAGCAGUUUUAAAGUUCUUUUUUCAGGAGUCAAAGUGCGAAGUUUUUUUCGGCACGUUCAACCUUCUGUAAUUUUUUGAAUAUCAAGCUGUUACCCAGGACGUUUUUGCUGUUAGUGGAUGUAAAAUACUUAGAACUAUCCAGGAAACCAGGUUUGAAUCUUUUAAGUUGAAGACUUUCGAUAAAAAAGUGCUUUUUCUUGCUGAUUUUCGCUCAAAAACAACCUUUUGACUGAAUUUCCCGCUCCUCGAAACUCUCCCCAGUCCUUUUGAAAGUUGAUUUAUUGCUCGCUGAGCUUGCGAGAAGCGCCAUCUUGGCUUCGGGCAAGUAUGGGCAUGUUUACCUGCAGUUAGCGUUCCAGUGUUAUUACAGUUCACUGGCAUGUACUUGAUUCAAAUUUUGUUUUUUUGAGAGCCAAAGCUAGAUCUGAGGCAGUACAUAACAUACAGUAGCCAUAAGAGCAGUGGGAGAACAGGUCGACAUGUUGUCAGCUUAAUUUAUACCCGAGUGGCCAUUGUCUGAUGGGGAAGGAAUUUUAUUCUGGGCAACUAACUUUCAUGUCCAACUUGCCCUGAAGGCAAGUGGUCAAAAAAGUAAAAUUACACCACUGCUUGUGAUUAAAUCCAGAAUUUCUGAUUUACUGUAAAUCAUUAGCCAUUUUGAAUAUGAGGAUGAAGUACUUCAUUAACCUUAGAGUAUAAUAACGUCUUCAAGUUUAUAUGUGCAUGAGGAAAGGGGACCGGGAGUAGUAAAAAAGGUAUCGUUAUUAAACUGUCUUGUACUUUAUCUCUGCGUGUUUAUGAAUGCUUUUCAUGUAGGCCCUAUAGUUGCACAUUUUUGCCAUUUAGUAAGAUUUGGAAUUUAUUUCUAUUUAUUUUUUUUCUAAAAUGUCCAAAACAGGGUUGCAAAUAUAAAUAAUUUUAUACCGUUGUAUAAUCUUGGAAUUUUAAGAAUAAUCUAAUUCAAAUAUUUCUAUUUAAUUUUCGAAAGUCAGGCCAGUAAUGCUAAUUUUCCUUAUGUUCAGUAUAGCAUUCUGAGUAAAGCUUCUGAUACACGAGCACAAGGGUGGGUUGACUACAAAUUUUUUGUAGUUCGCUGUAACUACAGCUACUUCAAAAAUAUGUAGUCAGCUACAACUACUGCUACUUUUAAAGAAAGGUAGUUCGCUACUGACUACAGCUACUGCUUAAAAAAUGUAGCGAACUAUUUCGCUACUCUAUAUUUUUAGUUUUACUGUAUUUGGAGCAUCUAUUAACUCAGGCUGGAAUGUAACCUAUAACAAAUCGAUUUACGAGUAACAACAGUAAACACAAAGCAACAUUUUUGAAAGCACUACAGUGUUCAGGCGUGCAAAUUGAGUAUUGAUUUUAAGCAGACCGUGUCUCAAUAUCAUGCUAUUCUAUCAAGUUACUAACAAUUUUAAAAAGUAGCGAAUAGCGAUUCGCUGUUUGAAAAGUAGCCAACUUCUUGGCUACUUUUAGGCAAAAUGUAGUUCGCUAUAACUACAGGUACUGUUUUAUAAAAGUAGUCAAAAACUACUGGCUACUUGAAAAUUGUAGUUCGCUACAGUAGCGAACUACAACUACUUCGCUACUACCCACCCUUGCACGAGCAAUAUUUUUGCUGCGUUGGUUACGUAAUGGUUGAUAAGAGCAUUGCGUUGCCGUCGCACAAGGUGGCUAUACCUGCAAUAUUUCACCUGCAAUAUAUGUUUUUAUAACGCUUUUCAUUGGCUGGUCAAGAAACGUGUCAAUCAACAACCUUGACCACACCUCCCAAUUUUCGGCAAUGAUUGCGCGAAGCUUUGCGUUGCCGUCGCAAAGCAUGAUACACAAGCAAUUUCUCGCGACGGCAAUGCAACGAUUUUACCACCAUUGCAUUGCCGUGUAUCCGUAGCUUAAUAUUGCCCGUGUAUCCGUAGCUUAAUGAACCCUGUAGUGAUUGUAUUUUCCUGUCUUACUAUAACUUUAACUUUACUUAGAAUGCAGGAAAUUAUGUUUCAGGCAGUUCAGAAAUUAUGUUUCUGGCAGUUCACGCCAGAAACAACACUGGCCUGGUAAGCUCGUCUUGGUGAGUUCGCAUGUCAUUGUUCGUUCAGAUGAGAGACGAACCUCGUACCCGGGCCUUCCAGCGGUCAAACGGCUCUGGUCACGUGACUUCAGAAAUAUUGGACAUUAUAAAGCAGUAAUUUACUUUUCGAGAUCACCUUUCUGUAGAAAAGAACUUAAAGUUGUGGACGAUUUUGGACUAAAACGCCAAGGCCGCUGGAGUUUUUAAUUUUUUUUUUAAAUUUUAGAUGAGGUACAGUAUAUAGACAUAGACGUAUCAGUUCAUCCCAUUUUAAACGUUGUAUUAUAGAAGUAUUUUGAAUUGUGUUUCUGGCAACGUAUAUUUAUGAGCAUGCGCAGUACAAGAGAAACGAACACGUUUGUUUUUGAGAAUCGAACCCAAGUUGACGUUUUAUAAAAUUUUCCCUAUUUUAUUUGUAUUAUUGGAAUAUUGGUGAAUAAUUUUUUAUAUGUAAAUUUACUUUUCGAUCCCGGGGGUGCGAGCCGAUUUGAUUCUAUUAAAUAUGGGCAUUAUGGCCACGCGAAGGCAUGAAGGUUUUACUAAUAAACUUUCUUAGGUUUUUUCAAGAAAUUAUGGAAUAGCAAACCGUUGUACUUAUCAAAGAUCAAGAAUCAAAAGAGUCUGAAAUCAAAAGAGUCUAAAGUCUACUGUAAUUUCUUAUCCAG